GAUGAACGCUGGCGGCGUGCCUAAUACAUGCAAGUCGAGCGAACAGACGAGGAGCUUGCUCCUCUGACGUUAGCGGCGGACGGGUGAGUAACACGCGGAUAACCUACCUAUAAGGCUGGGAUAACUUCGGGAAACCGGAGCUAAUACCGGAUAAUAUAUUGAACCGCAUGGUUCAAUAGUGAAAGACGGUUUUGCUGUCACUUAUAGAUGGAUCCGCGCCGCAUUAGCUAGUUGGUAAGGUAACGGCUUACCAAGGCAACGAUGCGUAGCCGACCUGAGAGGGUGAUCGGCCACACUGGAACUGAGACACGGUCCAGACUCCUACGGGAGGCAGCAGUAGGGAAUCUUCCGCAAUGGGCGAAAGCCUGACGGAGCAACGCCGCGUGAGUGAUGAAGGUCUUCGGAUCGUAAAACUCUGUUAUUAGGGAAGAACAAAUGUGUAAGUAACUAUGCACGUCUUGACGGUACCUAAUCAGAAAGCCACGGCUAACUACGUG
rnacentral:rRNA from 1 species